rnacentral:rRNA from 1 species
CGGACGGGUGAGUAACACGUGGGUAACCUACCUAUAAGACUGGGAUAACUUCGGGAAACCGGAGCUAAUACCGGAUAACAUUUGGAACCGCAUGGUUCUAAAGUGAAAGAUGGUUUUGCUAUCACUUAUAGAUGGACCCGCGCCGUAUUAGCUAGUUGGUAAGGUAACGGCUUACCAAGGCGACGAUACGUAGCCGACCUGAGAGGGUGAUCGGCCACACUGGAACUGAGACACGGUCCAGACUCCUACGGGAGGCAGCAGUAGGGAAUCUUCCGCAAUGGGCGAAAGCCUGACGGAGCAACGCCGCGUGAGUGAUGAAGGGUUUCGGCUCGUAAAACUCUGUUAUUAGGGAAGAACAAAUGUGUAAGUAACUGUGCACGUCUUGACGGUACCUAAUCAGAAAGCCACGGCUAACUACGUGCCAGCAGCCGCGGUAAUACGUAGGUGGCAAGCGUUAUCCGGAAUUAUUGGGCGUAAAGCGCGCGUAGGCGGUUUCUUAAGUCUGAUGUGAAAGCCCACGGCUCAACCGUGGAGGGUCAUUGGAAACUGGGAAACUUGAGUGCAGAAGAGGAAAGUGGAAUUCCAUGUGUAGCGGUGAAAUGCGCAGAGAUAUGGAGGAACACCAGUGGCGAAGGCGACUUUCUGGUCUGUAACUGACGCUGAUGUGCGAAAGCGUGGGGAUCAAACAGGAUUAGAUACCCUGGUAGUCCACGCCGUAAACGAUGAGUGCUAAGUGUUAGGGGGUUUCCGCCCCUUAGUGCUGCAGCUAACGCAUUAAGCACUCCGCCUGGGGAGUACGACCGCAAGGUUGAAACUCAAAGGAAUUGACGGGGACCCGCACAAGCGGUGGAGCAUGUGGUUUAAUUCGAAGCAACGCGAAGAACCUUACCAAAUCUUGACAUCCUUUGAAAACUCUAGAGAUAGAGCUUUCCCCUUCGGGGGACAAAGUGACAGGUGGUGCAUGGUUGUCGUCAGCUCGUGUCGUGAGAUGUUGGGUUAAGUCCCGCAACGAGCGCAACCCUUAAGCUUAGUUGCCAUCAUUAAGUUGGGCACUCUAGGUUGACUGCCGGUGACAAACCGGAGGAAGGUGGGGAUGACGUCAAAUCAUCAUGCCCCUUAUGAUUUGGGCUACACACGUGCUACAAUGGACAAUACAAAGGGCAGCUAAACCGCGAGGUCAUGCAAAUCCCAUAAAGUUGUUCUCAGUUCGGAUUGUAGUCUGCAACUCGACUACAUGAAGCUGGAAUCGCUAGUAAUCGUAGAUCAGCAUGCUACGGUGAAUACGUUCCCGGGUCUUGUACACACCGCCCGUCACACCACGAGAGUU